rnacentral:rRNA from 1 species
CCCUGCCAUUUGUACACACCGCCCGUCGCUACUACCGAUUGAAUGGUUUAGUGAGAUCUCGGGACUGGCGGACUCGAGCUGGCAACAGUUCUUUUCUGCCGGGAACCUGCUCAAACUUGAUCAUUUAG